GACGAACGCUGGCGGCGUGCUUACACAUGCAAGUCGAACGGAAAGGCCCUGCUUUUGUGGGGUGCUCGAGUGGCGAACGGGUGAGUAACACGUGAGUAACCUGCCCUUGACUUUGGGAUAACUUCAGGAAACUGGGGCUAAUACCGGAUAGGAGCUCCUGCUGCAUGGUGGGGGUUGGAAAGUUUCGGCGGUUGGGGAUGGACUCGCGGCUUAUCAGCUUGUUGGUGGGGUAGUGGCUUACCAAGGCUUUGACGGGUAGCCGGCCUGAGAGGGUGACCGGCCACAUUGGGACUGAGAUACGGCCCAGACUCCUACGGGAGGCAGCAGUGGGGAAUAUUGCACAAUGGGCGGAAGCCUGAUGCAGCAACGCCGCGUGCGGGAUGACGGCCUUCGGGUUGUAAACCGCUUUCGCCUGUGACGAAGCGUGAGUGACGGUAAUGGGUAAAGAAGCACCGGCUAACCACGUGCCAGCAGCCGCGGUGAUACGUAGGGUGCGAGCGUUGUCCGGAUUUAUUGGGCGUAAAGGGCUCGUAGGUGGUUGAUCGCGUCGGAAGUGUAAUCUUGGGGCUUAACCCUGAGCGUGCUUUCGAUACGGGUUGACUUGAGGAAGGUAGGGGAGAAUGGAAUUCCUGGUGGAGCGGUGGAAUGCGCAGAUAUCAGGAGGAACACCAGUGGCGAAGGCGGUUCUCUGGGCCUUUCCUGACGCUGAGGAGCGAAAGCGUGGGGAGCGAACAGGCUUAGAUACCCUGGUAGUCCACGCUGUAAACGGUGGGUACUAGGUGUGGGGUCCAUUCCACGGGUUCCGUGCCGUAGCUAACGCUUUAAGUACCCCGCCUGGGGAGUACGGCCGCAAGGCUAAAACUCAAAGGAAUUGACGGGGCCCCGCACAAGCGGCGGAGCAUGCGGAUUAAUUCGAUGCAACGCGUAGAACCUUACCUGGGUUUGACAUGGAUCGGGAGUGCUCAGAGAUGGGUGUGCCUCUUUUGGGGUCGGUUCACAGGUGGUGCAUGGCUGUCGUCAGCUCGUGUCGUGAGAUGUUGGGUUAAGUCCCGCAACGAGCGCAACCCUUGUUCACUGUUGCCAGCACGUUAUGGUGGGGACUCAGUGGAGACCGCCGGGGUCAACUCGGAGGAAGGUGGGGAUGACGUCAAGUCAUCAUGCCCCUUAUGUCCAGGGCUUCACGCAUGCUACAAUGGCUGGUACAGAGAGUGGCGAGCCUGUGAGGGUGAGCGAAUCUCGGAAAGCCGGUCUCAGUUCGGAUUGGGGUCUGCAACUCGACCUCAUGAAGUCGGAGUCGCUAGUAAUCGCAGAUCAGCAACGCUGCGGUGAAUACGUUCCCGGGGCU
rnacentral:rRNA from 1 species